UUGGACUAUCUUCUUCUUCUUCAUCUGCUUUGUCAUCUGAUUUUCCAGAUAUAUUUAAACUUAUAUUAUUAACAGUCUUAUUGAAACUUACACACCCUUCAUCCAAUAUUUUUUCUUCAGAAGAGGCAUGUCCAUUCUCAGAAACCGGAUCUUUAUUUCUUUCAGAAUACUUUUCCAUCAUUUCUAAUUUUUGUUCAUCAGACGAUUGUUCAGAUUUUUCGUCUUGCUUGACAUCAAGAUCAUCUAUCGCAUCUACAGAUUCAAGUGACACAUCCUUCAAACUGUUUUUGUCAGAUUCUGGUGAAACUGGAUCUAAAUCUUUAGGCAAUAGAUCUUUAAGACCACAACUACUAGAUUUUUCUUUAGUUUUGGGUCUUUCAAUGCCUAAAAAUUUGUAUACAACAUCCUCUAUUUGAGGCAUGAAUACUGAAUAGACCUUUGGAUUUACUACUUGAUCGACUAUACGUUCAACUCCAGCAUCUAAAUAUGGUGCUUCGUGUAUAUGCUUACGCAAUGUUUCUCUGACUUGAUUUUUAUUAAGUUCUGGCUUCCAUAACUGCUUGUCAAGAAAUGAAUUAACAGACCCCUCCACUCUUGUACGUAGAUUUUGAUACGCAGGCUGUGUGAGAGAUAAUAUUUUAUUAUUUACUGUUUCUUUAUAAACGCCAAAACAAAAACUCCAAUAAAAUGUUUCUCUGAUAUUAUUUAGAUGACACUUAUAUUAGAGAAAAAUAUAAACAUACAAUUUAUAUACCUUUGUGUCAACAUCGGCUAUGCAUUCCUUACGAAAUUGAUCAAAAAUACCCUGCGAUUUGACUUCACCAACGAUAUGAUCUACAAGACGUGGAUCGCCGGCUAACAACGUACUAGAUAAUCCUAACUCCAUUCUAAAUAUUAUUAUAAUAGAAAUAAAUAUCACUCGAUUACGAUCAAGAGCCAAAAGACUUUUUUCUACUAAAGUCGAUCUGUGAAAUAGUGAGCAGCCAUAUUUGUUUGGAACCAUUGUCUAUGCAGUAAUGCCAAGCAAUACAUUUAUUUCGAUACCAACUUAAAAAAAAAAUCUCUAUAAUUUACUCGCGAUCUUUCAGGCUGUUCACUAUCUUUUGUGACAGGUAUGGACAAAAUAUGAACUACGAAUACAAGCGUCUAUAUGUAUCGGUGUAUAAACUUGUUUGGUUAUUCCUCUCUCACGCGACAUAAUUAUUGGUUUAGUGUAUAUAUAUAUAUCUUUCUUUGACGGUAUCUAUAAGUAACAGUAAAUAAUUUUUAUUUGUUCUAUUUAUAAUUUAUCCGAUCUACUUUUUACAUUUUUAAAUAAAAUGAGUAUCUCUUUUACAAUUAUUUAAAAAAUAUUAUUUUUAAUUAUGUAUAUGUUUAUAUAUAGAAUUGCUUAUUACAAAUACUUUGCGUACGUAUCUGCAUAAAUGCAUUCGCAUCAUACUUACAAAUAUAUCGAUCUAAUUUAUUGAAUAAAUUUAAAUACUACUUAUACCACAUUUCUCAAUCGUUUCAAGUAAUGACUGCAAAUUAGUCUCAAAAAGUUCACACCUGAUUGGCAUUUCUAAAGAAUAAAAUGGAUUCUUGAGAGCAUAAUCUGCAUAAAGUUCGUAUACUUUUUUCGUCAAAAUUUCCAUUCCUAACUGUGAUGGCUCUGCCACUAUCAUAAAUUUAAUUCCAGUGAGCGUUUGAUAGCAGUACAAGCGAAACGUGUCUGCUUCUAGAAUUUCAAUUCCAGAACAUCGGGGUUCAGGGCUCAACUGACUAGCUAUCGCAAAUAGAGGAUAAAACAUAGAUGCGAGAAAAAUUUUCUCAUUAGUUGUCAUUUUUGCACGACUAAACUUUAGUGUUACAGGAAAAUUUUCUGGUUGAUUUAACAUUUCCAGCACAUCCCUUCCAUCUUCCAAUUCAUUGCCGAUAACGGGACUACCGUUUACAGCAGUUAACAUAUGGCCUACUGAAUAAGAAUAUUCUAUUAAAUAUACAACUAAAUAUAAAGAAUAUGUUCCUAAUAAUUUAAUAAUAUUAAUAAAAUCUAUUACCAUUUAUACCAUCUUUUUGACCAAAAGAUACAACAAUCUUUUUAUUUUCAUAAUUUAAUUUUAUAUCCAAUGGAUAAGCGAAAGUUCUUUCAUUUUCCACUUUGGGAAUAUUGUGAUCAUGAUUAAAAAUUAAACCUCCCGAUUUUGAUACAAUAUAAACACCGUAUAUCACCAUUAUUAAGAAAAUUAAAGGUUAUGUGUCUCUAUUUAUAAUCUAGCAAUGCACAUCUCAAAGUAUACCAGAUCAGCUGUUUAGUUUAAUUACUAACAUCGUCACUUGUCGUAAUUUUUCGAAAUUAAUUUUUAUACGUUGGCACAACUUGUUUAGUACUCUUAUUAUUUUUUUUUUCCCCCAAUUGUACAUAUAUAUGAUCAGAGUGUGAAUUUUCACUAGAAGUAUCUAUAAUGUUUUGCAAAAAUAUUGAGUAAAGUGUAUAUCAGUUUUCUUAUAUCGCUUUUAAAUUAAUUAUAACAAUCCUUAAAAUCCCAUGUUGUUAUUUUAUAUGGAUCAGUAUGACACGUAAGUGUGUGCUAUGUAAAGAGACAAAUUAUAAAAAUACUUAUAGUUUCUUCUCAGCUCCAAAGGAUCCAGAAACACGUAGAAAAUGGCAAGCUGCAAUUGCUAUAGAAAAUUAUUCUGUAAGCGAUGAUACAUAUGUUUGUAGUAAACAUUUUCAUAAAAGUGAUAUUAUCACACAUUGGGUUAGCGGAGUACCACCACAUGUUAUUACUAUAAAGUAUAAAAAAUGUAGAUUAAGACCAGGUGCAGUACCUGGUAGAAAUAUUCAUCUUCAGUCAAAAAAUAACGAAGCCAAUGAAAAAAAUCAUUCCGAUUUGUAUGGUUUAAAUGAUUUUUUAACAUUUCGUAAUAAUUUGGUGCAAAAUAUUGAUAAUAAAAAAGAGAAUUUUCUUAUACCCAAAAAGGACCAAAUUUCAAAUGCAGAAAAAGAAUGUCUUGAAUUUAUAAAUCAUGAAUAUGCACAUGAAAAUACUAAUCGAUCAACAAAGAUGCAAUCUUUAAAGGAUGAAUCAAAUAUAAAUAUGUCUGUUGAUGAUUCUAGAACACAAUUAAGACUGUCUUCUAAUAGAAAUAAUAAACAUGAAAAAAUAAUGCUUACAAGUAAUUACAAUAAUUUUGAAGUAAGUAUUGAAGCAGAUAAUAAUAUAGAAAAAACAAGGCAAAAAGAAAACAAUAAUUAUAAUCAACUCUCUGGAACAAAACUUGAAAGAAGUAAAAAUAAUUCUUCAAAUAUAUUCAGUUAUUCUGAAGAGGAUGAGACAUCGGCAGAUAUGUGGGAACAUGCAGAAGUUAAAAGCAAAACUUAUAUCAUGGAAAAAUGUAUAGAUAAUACUCUACAGAAGAAUAGAAAUUUAUAUAUGAAAAAUCAAACAUUAAAUAUUGUAAAUGAUCGUUUAAAUAGAUAUAACGACUGUGUAUAUGAUGAAAUACGAGAACAUGAAAUCUUGUUUGAAGAUUUACUGGAAAUGUGUUUUGAAAUUGCUUUACCAAGAGGUUGGUCGUGUAAUGUAACUUCUGAAGGACAUGCUACAACAAUAGUAUAUCUGAGCAUGGGAAUGACAAAAACUGGUAUGCCUUUUUUGGAAAAACAAGUAUUUGUAAAAACUGAUAUGAUAUUACGGUGUAGUGCUUUAAAUCAAGAAAUUGAUCCGAUAAUGUAUAAUCUUAUAAGAGAAGGUAAAGAUAAUAAAGUGCAAUGCUUGUUAGAUAUUGAGGAAUUAAUAGAUGAAUUUGACAUAAGAAUUAUUUGCGAAGGCAUAACUGAAAAUUUUCAAGAAUAUAAUUGUCCUAAAAUAGCCUGUAAAGAUGGUAUACGAUGGAGACAUAUACUAUGCCCGCUCAUUAUAAAUAACGAUUCUAUGAGAUGUUCCAAAUGCAGCAUGUUAUCUCAUUUGAUAAGACGCAGAUCUAAAGAGUCUGUAUCUUAUAAUUCCAAUUUUACUUUAAGAGAACAAAGAAAAAUGUAUACACGCCAAAGAAACAUCAGACAUGCAAAAGAGCAUUACACGAAAUAAAAAUGUUAAUAUUUAAAAAAGGUCUUGUACCUGGUUACAUGAAGAUAAAAUAAUUAUUUAAUAAUUGUGUCAACUGAAGUACUCCACUUUGGAUAAGUGAGUCUAAUUCUUGCUGAACAUCUCGUACUAUAGUAGCAUCAGGGAAUAAAUCCAUAAACCGAUAACUGCAUUAAAAAAUAUGAGUUGAAUUUGUUUUAAGUAAAUAUCUAUAAAUCUCUAUAUAUAUUAUAGAUACCUUAACCAAAGAUAUAAAUCCAUAACAUCAAACACAGCUUCCAGAUGAACAAGAUCAAGUAUAGAUUUAGGUGUUGAAAAUGGCCAACCAAUAUGUUUGCAUAACCAAUUAAAGGAACAUAGCACAUGAAAAUGGAAGUUUUUUAUUAAUUGGUGCACAACAGAAUACGUAUCGCGCACGUAAUGGCAAAGGAACAUGUUGUAUCAUAUCGGCAAGGAACUUAAAAUCUUCUGUAUUACACAUAAAGUAUAAAGAAUCAUCAACUAUAGAUAGAGUUAUAAAAAUAUCCUGAAAUAAUAAACAUAUUAUUUCUUGUAUAUCAGCAAUUAAUGUAUAUGUAAUUUAUAUUAUUACCACAAGAUUUGACAAUGGUGUGUUUGGUAAGUGAUAAGCAUAUAAUUCGAUUUGAUCUGAUGUUGGAUGAAGACCAGCUUGAGUGAUUGUCUCAGGUUGCUGACUGAGUAAAUUUUUCAGUGUUGGAAGAUCCUGUGAUUUAUAAGUUGUGACAUAGCCCUAAAUAAAAAAUUCGCAAAUGAAAUGUUCCAAAUAUAAAAUAAAAAUUGCCUUUUAGGAGAACUUUAAAUUAUUAUAUUACUGUUU